AGCGAACGCUGGCGGCAUGCUUAACACAUGCAAGUCGCACGGGCACUUCGGUGUCAGUGGCGGACGGGUGAGUAACGCGUAGGUAUCUAUCCUUGGGUGGGGGACAACUGUGGGAAACUACAGCUAAUACCGCAUGAUAACUGAGGUUUAAAGGCGCAAGUCGCCUGAGGAGGAGCCUGCGUACGAUUAGCUAGUUGGUGGGGUAAAGGCCUACCAAGGCGACGAUCGUAGCUGGUCUGAGAGGAUGAUCAGCCACAUUGGGACUGAGACACGGCCCAAACUCCUACGGGAGGCAGCAGUGGGGAAUAUUGGACAAUGGGCGAAAGCCUGAUCCAGCAAUGCCGCGUGUGUGAAGAAAGUCUUCGGAUUUGUAAAGCACUUUCGACGGGGACGAUGAUGACGGUACCCGUAGAAGAAGCCCCGGCUAACUUCGUGCCAGCCGCCGCCGUAACACCUCGAGACUCC
rnacentral:rRNA from 1 species